AUUGAACGCUGGCGGCAGGCCUAACACAUGCAAGUCGAGCGGCAGCGGGAAAGUAGCUUGCUACUUUUGCCGGCGAGCGGCGGACGGGUGAGUAAUGCCUGGGAAAUUGCCCAGUCGAGGGGGAUAACAGUUGGAAACGACUGCUAAUACCGCAUACGCCCUACGGGGGAAAGCAGGGGACUUUCGGGCCUUGCGCGAUUGGAUAUGCCCAGGUGGGAUUAGCUAGUUGGUGAGGUAAUGGCUCACCAAGGCGACGAUCCCUAGCUGGUCUGAGAGGAUGAUCAGCCACACUGGAACUGAGACACGGUCCAGACUCCUACGGGAGGCAGCAGUGGGGAAUAUUGCACAAUGGGGGAAACCCUGGUGCAGCCAUGCCGCGUGUGUGAAGAAGGCCUUCGGGUUGUAAAGCACUUUCAGCGAGGAGGAAAGGUUGAUGCCUAAUACGUAUCAACUGUGACGUUACUCGCAGAAGAAGCACCGGCUAACUCCGUGCCAGCAGCCGCAGUAAAAC
rnacentral:rRNA from 1 species